ACUUUCACAAGUGGAUGCCAAGUUCUUAGGUGUACAUCCGCAUCUAAUCAGAAGUAUAGAGUUUCAGCUGUUGGGUACCUGCCAGACAAUUUAUCCUUGACUUCUCUGCUCCUUAAUUCUUAUGGAAGUUUGAUUGGAGAAAACAACAUUUAGGGAGAGAUGCAGGCCAUCCAACUUUCUUUCUUUCUUUCUUUCUUUCUUUCUUUCUUUCUUUCUUUCUUUCUUUUUCUUUCUUUCUUUCUUUUCUUUCUUUUUUUCUUUCUUCCUUCCUUCCCUUUCCUUUCCUUUUUCUUUUAUUUCUUUUAUUUUUUUUCAAGAUGGAGGCUCACUCUGUCUCCCAGGCUCGAGUGCAGUGGUGGUGAUCACAGCUCACUGCAGCCUUGACCUCUUGGGUUCAAGCAAUCCUCCUGCCUCAGUCUCCUGGGUAGUUGGGACCACAGGCAUGAGCCACCAUGCCCAGCUAAUUUUUACACUUUUUAAAGAGAAAGGGUCUCCCUAUGUUGCCCAGGCUGGUUUUAAAUUCCCGAGUUCAAGCAAGCCUCCCACCUCGGCCUCCUGAAGUGCUGGCAUUACAAAUGGAAGCCACAACACUUGGCCUUCUUUUAGAUAUUUUAGAUAUUUUAAACUUUAUCUGUGCAUCAAGUCAGAUACUUAAAAAACUUCAUUUGUGAACUGCAUCAUGUCAUUCCCUCAGAGAACUGAAUUUUAAAGGACCUCACUUUGUCAUUAGGCCCUAGGUUAAAGGCUCCUGGAGUGAUACCAUAAGAAACAGCUAUUGGAAACUCAUCUGCUUUAAGUGUCAUUCAUGACAUCAGUGUCCCUUUUGAGGACAUAUGGGAGAAACGUCUUUCAGGUCUUAAGGCUCCUGAGACCGUGGUAUGUAUGUUAUAAAACACUGUGAAUCCUAUAACUUGUCUGUUUUCUUCAUUGCUCAGAGCCAAAUGUGUGAUCCCCCUCCAGAAAAGACUUGAGUCUUUACAGUUGGAAUUUCCGUGUCGUGAGUGACAGGAUCUUGGUCCAUCACCCAGGCUGGAAUACAGUGGUGCAAUUAUAGUUCACUGCGGCCUCAAAUUCCUGCACUCAACAGAUCCUCCCACCUCAGCCUCGCAACUGGCUGGGACUACAGGGAUGCACCACCACACCUGGCUAAUUUUUAACUCUUUCGUAGGAAUGAGGUCUUGCUGUGUUGCCCAGGCUGGUCUCGAACUCUGGGGGUCAAGAGAUCCUCCCAUCUCGGCCUUCCAAAGUGUUGGGAUUACAGGCACGCACCACCACACCUGGCUACAUGCCUAAUUUAACAUGAGCUAGAGUUAGGUUUGGCCAUCCCUAGUGUUCAGUGGAGUUGUAGAGUUAGUCUCAAAUGCCAGAGUGAAAGUCCUUGCCUAUCACUCCCUCAUGGGGUAACCAUGGUGGAGCUGCCCAAUUUCCUCAUC
rnacentral:lncRNA from 1 species